rnacentral:lncRNA from 1 species
UAUACACAUUAAUUCAAAUAUGGUUUUUUAAAAUUUUACGCCAUUUACUUUUUCAAUUGAAGACACUAACAGACCUAUUCUCAUUGUUACCGACAAAGUAAAUUUUGUUACCUCGACAGAAUAGGCCUGUAAGAGGUUUUGCCGUCGUUGUCUAUGGCGAAAGACCGAAUAUGGCCCACACGUCACCGCAUCUUGAAAGAACAUUUCGGCCAUAAAAAGUGUUUCGCUUGAUGCAAGCUCGUGUUAUGUUCAUCGUACAUCUGAUGUGCUUGCAUUUUCAUUAUAAAAUGCAAAGAAAUAAAGCUAAAAAUUGAAGACGGUCAAUUGAAUAAUAUACAUGCCAGCAGAUGAAGAAGCUUUCCCUCUUGGAGCCAAAGGUUAUAAGGAACCUCCAUCAUUAUCGUAAGCUUUUGAACUAUUACAGUUUCUUUUAAAACAUUCUUUAAUGUUUAUACAUACUCGUAUCUAAAUUCAGCCAAAAAGGUUAUGAAAAUUAUUUGUAAAUGUAA